GGAGGGAUCACUAUAGAAAAACCUAUACUGCCAGGAGAGGGGGGGGUGGGAGACAGGAAAGGAAAGGAAAGGAAAGGAAAUGCUUUUUCUGCUCUUCUCCUCCUUCUUUUCCUGGACAAACAAUAACACACAUGACUAGGAAAAUGAUUGGUAUAUGUGUGAGGGGUGAGGAAGGGGAAAUGUGAUUUGGUUCCUACUCCUCUCUCAUACACACAAGAAGAAGAAGUUCUUGUCUGAUAAGUAGCUUACUGAUUUGGUCAAGUUACUACACAUCAAUACAACUUUCAACAACGGAUCUCUUGGCUCUCACAUCGAUGAAGAACAUAGCAAAGUGUGAAAAUUAGUGUGAAUUGCAGAAUUCAGUGAAUCAUCGAGUUUUUGAACGCAUCUUGCACUCCUUGGUAUUCCAGGGAGUAUGCCUGGUUGAGUAAUGUCAACCAAUCUAAUCAAUCUCUUGAUUGUAGAUUGUAGAGUAGGCGUGUAUAGUGCAGUGCACUAUACUUUCUAUUCUACUACAUCAAAAAAGAGAUUGGAGUUGAGUGCUUUACCUUGUCUGCCUGCAUCUGCUUGCAUUUGACAAGGUUCACUUGAAAUGCAGGGGAGAACAAGAACAAGAAUCCCUGAGAUGAGAAAUCUCUCGAGGAUAUGUGUGGCAUGGAGACUUGUUCCAUCUAACAAUGACUUGAUGAAAAGAGAUAAUUUGAUUUGUCUCAUCUCAAAAAGUCUUUUUAGUAACGUCUCGGCGCGCUUUGUGAGCGGAGCUCUGCUCUGCUCUGCUCUGCUCUGCUAGAAUCAGCAACAUGCUCUCUUGCUCUUGUUUCCAUAACUAGGGAAAGAGGGAAAGAGUUGUACCGUACCUCUGAAUCUUCAUUCUCAACUCAGGCAAGACUACCCGCUGAAUUUAAGCAUAUAAAUAAGCGGAGGAAAAGAAACUAACAAGGAUUCCCCUAGUAACGGCGAGUGAACCGGGAAAAGCUCAAAUUUGGAAUCUACCAAGAGUAACCUUCUUGGUCGAAUUGUAGUUUCAAGAAAGAAAGGCUGAGAGGAGCCGGAUUAGAUGCAAGUUCCUUGGAACAGGACAUCAGAGAGGGUGAUAAUCCCGUCCACCAUCUAAUCGUUUGCACCUCAUCAAAGGCCUUCUUUUCAAAGAGUCGAGUUGUUUGGGAUUGCAGCUCAAAAUGGGUGGUAAAUUUCAUCUAAAGCUAAAUAUGGGUGAGAGACCGAUAGCGAACAAGUACCGUGAGGGAAAGAUGAAAAGCACUCUGAAGAGAGAGUGAAAAGUACGUGAAAUUGUUGAAAGGGAAACGCUUGAAGCCAGUCAAGGUUUUCUAGAGAUCAGAAGGGUUGGAAUUGGGCGGAUCAAGUAUCAUGAUUAGUCUCUUUGGGCUAACUUUGUAUUUGAUUCUUUGCUCAGCUCACUUUUUGUAUGUCUCUAGUUGACAUGUCAACAUCAGUUUGGCACUUUGGGAAAAAGAUAACAGGAUUUGGUUGGACUUUGAUAGGGCUUCGGCCCGUCAAGGUUCAAGCCUGCUUAUCAUGAUACCAAAUGCUAGACUGAGGAUGGCAGUACAGGGCAUUGUCUUGGACUAGACAGUCUUGUGGUGAGACUAGGAAUAAACAGCCUAGCUGAUUGUUCCAGUCCUUCACCAAAGUCCUGUCCUAUCUUUGCAGGCUCUGACUUUGGAUGUUGACGAAAUGGCUUUAAACGACCCGUCUUGAAACACGGACCAAGGAGUCUAACAUGGAUGCGAGUAUUUGGGUGAUAAAACCCAUCUGCGUAAUGAAAGUGAUAUUCUCCCAAGGGUAGGAUGCCGUUGGGGGGGGUUUCCCCUCGGCGGCUGCACUACCAACCGAUCUUGACUAGCCUCGGCUUGAUAGAUUCGAGUAAGAGCAUGUAUGUUGGGACCCGAAAGAUGGUGAACUAUGCCUGAAUAGGGUGAAGUCAGACGAAAGUCUGAUGGAAGCUCGUAGCGAUUCUGACGUGCAAAUCGAUCGUCAAAUUUGGGUAUAGGGGCGAAAGACUAAUCGAACCAUCUAGUAGCUGGUUCCUGC
rnacentral:misc_RNA from 1 species